GUUCCCAUGGCCCCUUAGUGACAAUGUUUAUAGCUCAUGAAUUCUGUAAACAAUUAACACAUUUAUUCUCCACUAAGCACAUGUUCAGAAUUCCUAUUAGCAGUUGUAGGCAUCCUUUACUGGAGGAGCCUCUGAACUUUUUUGGGGCGUUCCAAGAGAAAAGCCUGUGUGCUGCAAUCUAGUUUUAGAGAUUACAACUCCCAUGAUGUGUUGGGGAAAGGGGGAGAGACUUCCUUGUGCAAGGAGAGCAGGCAGUGGGCGCCAUUUUGGGGAAAGGAGUGAGAUUGCUGCUGUGGAGCUCUGUCCAUACCAGGAUCUGCUGCUAGGAAGCCAGAAGCCGCUGCUGAGAGCCUGCAGGGGCUUCGAUCCAGCAGGGAGCCUCAGAGGCUGUUGGUGGCUUCACUGGAGCCAGGGCAGAGACUGUUGCUGUGCCUAGUGCUGAGCUUGCAGUGAAGUAAAUAAGUAAAGGGACUGCAGCAGAGGGGUGGAUAGAGGAUUCCCACUUAUCCAACAUCACCACUGGGAUACUCAGGAUCUCCUUUAAUGUCAACAACAUCAGGUACCCAGGCACGCAGGUUGCAAAGGCACAGAGAACACUGCUGAAGCUGCCCAGGCCCAUGCGCCACUAGCCUGUUUUCUGCAACUGUGUCUGCUGAAGUCAUCAUGGACUGGUUGGGAAACCGUCCUAGCACAGGAGGAGGAGAAGAAGAAGAAGUAGUAAUACUGCCAUCCCUAGAAACCUUCAGGAGAGGAUUGCGGAGUACUGCCAUGAAAGUGUCAUUGAUAUCUCUCAGGAGGACACAACAGACAUUCCUAUAUAUGUAAACAAAUUGAUCCACAUGCCCUGCCCCACUAACCCUAGUAGGGAAUGAAAAUCAGAUAAUUUUACUUCUAAGUUUGUUGUACCUCUACCUUUUCUUCUACCCCUUCUUGUACAAGUGAA